AUGAGUUAGGGUCUCCUAGGCCCGACCUCCCAACCCUUUGUUUAUUUAACCUAUUGUUGCUUCGGCGGGCCCGUCCCUGUGACCGCCGGAGGACUGUCGAGAGACGUCCUCUGGUCCGCGCGCGCCGGUGGCCAACCUCAAUAACACUCUUGAAUGAAUCGUGUUUAUGUCUAAGUCUAUGAUUAAAUAAAGCA
rnacentral:misc_RNA from 1 species